rnacentral:rRNA from 1 species
GAUGAACGCUGGCGGCGUGCUUAAUACAUGCAAGUCGAGCGAACGGACGAGAAGCUUGCUUUUCUGAUGUUUGCGGCGGACGGGUGUGAAACACGUGUAUAAUCCACUUAUAAGACUGGGAUAACCUCGGGAAACCGGAGCUUAUACCGGAUAAUAUUUUGAUCCGCAUGGUUCAAUAGUGAAAGACGGCCUUGCUGUCACUUAUAGAUGCAUCUCCGCUGCAUUAGCUAGUAGGUACGGUAACGGCUUACCAAGGCAACGAUGCAUAGCCGACCUGUGAGGGUGAUAGGCCACACUGGAGCUGAGACACGGACCAGGCUCCUACGGGAGGCAGCAGUAGGGAAUCGUCCGCAAUGGGCGAAAGCCUGACGGAGCAACGCCGCGUGAGUGAUGACGGUCUUCGGAUCGUAAAACUCUGUUAUUAGGUAAAAACAUAUGUGUAAGUAACUGUGCACAUCUUGACGGUACCUAAUCAGAAAGCCACGGCUAACUACGUG